rnacentral:rRNA from 1 species
GAUGAACGCUGGCGGCGUGCCUAAUACAUGCAAGUCGAGCGAACAGACCCGGAGUUUGCUCCUCUGACGUUAGCGGCGCACGGGUGAGUAACACGUGGAUAACCUACCUAUAAGACUGGGAUCACUUCGGGACACCGGCGCUAAUACCGGAUAAUCUAUUGAACCGCGUGGUUCAAUAGUGAAUGACGGUUUUUCUGUCACUACUCGCUGCUUCUCCGCCGCUUUAGCUAGUUGGUACGGUAACGGCUUUCCAAGGCUACGAUGCGUAGCAGACCUGCGAGGGUGGGCAGCCACACUGGAACUGAGACCCGGUACAGACUCCUACGGGUGGCAGCAGUAGGGAAGCUGCCGCAAGGGGCGAAGACUUGACGGAGCAGCGCCGCGGGAUUAAUGAAGGUCGUCGGGUCGUAGAACUCGGUUAUUAGGGAAGAACAAGUGUGUAAGUAACUAGGCGCGUGUUGACGGUACCUGGUCAGAGAGGCACGGCUAACUACGUG